rnacentral:rRNA from 1 species
AGCAGCCGCGGUAAUUCCAGCUCCAAUAGCGUAUAUUAAAGUUGUUGCAGUUAAAAAACUCGUAGUUGAAUUUCGAGAUUAAUAUGUUGGUCGUGCUUAUGUACGUACUUGCAUUAUUGAUUUCUCCCUUCUGAUGAACCAUGAUGCCAUUAAUUUGGUGUUGUGGGGAAUCAGGACUGUUACUUUGAAAAAAUUAGAGUGUUUAAAGCAGGCUAACGCUUGAAUACAUUAGCAUGGAAUAAUGGAAUAGGACGUUCGAUCCUAUUUUGUUGGUUUCUAGGAUUGACGUAAUGAUUAAUAGGGAUAGUUGGGGGCAUUAGUAUUCAAUUGUCAGAGGUGAAAUUCUUGGAUUUAUUGAAGACUAACUACUGCGAAAGCAUUUGCCAAGGAUGUUUUCAUUAAUCAAGAACGAAAGUUAGGGGAUCGAAGACGAUCAGAUACCGUCGUAGUCUUAACCAUAAACUAUGCCGACUAGGGAUCGGAUGAUGUUAAUUUUUAAUGACUCAUUCGGCGCCUUAAC